AGAAAGAAGUUUAUUAGGUUAAUGUGCUUUUUGUAUCAUGUUUCGAUAAAUGAGUCUCAGAUGAGUGGACCCGAAGUUGAACAGUAAUUUUUAUAACAAGUUAGCUUUUCGAGGUUUUAAAGUGUAGUUCUUUUGAUUAUAAGAAGAUUAUGAUAGAUAAGGUAGGUUCGAGGAUAGCUGGUGAGUUGGUUUAGAAGUCAAGUUAUUUUAGGUGGGGAAGCUGCUUAGAAAAAAAAAUUUAGAUUAAAGAGUUUAUUUUUUGUUUGGGUUGGAUGUACUUAAAUGUUAAAUUAGUCAUUAAACUUUAAGUUGAGAAGAAAGUUAAUUUAUAAAACCAAUUAGACUAAAUCUGGUUGAUUGGAUGUCGGGAUAAGUAGAUUAUGAAUUAAGUCUGAAGAACUCAAAGGACUCCCGACUGUUUUUAAAAACAUUUCCUCCAGAAACUUUGUUGGAGGUAAAUCCUGCCCGGUGAGAUUUUCUUGUUAAAGGGGUCUUUAACGGCCGCAGUAUACUUAACUGUGCGAAGGUAGCAUAAUUAGUUGUUUCUUAAAUAGAAACUUGUUUGAAAGGAUUGGUGCGAGGGGUUAUGUUUUUUGGGCUUAUUUUGGUUGAAUUUAUAGUCAGGUUAAAAAUAACUUGAAAUUUUAGUAAGAAGAGAAGACCCUAUAAAUUUUUCUUGCCUGUUAGUUUGAAGAAAGUGGGUUAAGUUUUAGUGGGACACUGUAAUUUUUAUAAUUUAUUUAGAAUGGUUAGUUAGCAAAUUAUAAAAUACUUUAGGGAUAACAGGACAAUUUGAGGCUUGAGUACAUAUUGGGCUUCAAGUUUGUUACUUCGAUGUUGAAUUAAUUUUCCUCCAGUAUGUAGGGGCAUUGGGAAGGUGGCCUGUUCGGCCAUUAAAUAAUUACAUGAUUUGAGUUGAGACCGGCGUGAGCCAGGUUGGAUUCUAUCUACUUGUAGAGAAUAAUGGUACGAAAGGACUUUGUUCUCUUGUGAGAUAA
rnacentral:rRNA from 1 species